GGUACUAUGGCUUAGAAGGGAAGCGCCUGCCUAGUAGGCAGGAGGACACAAGUUCGAGUCUCGUUGGAACUA
rnacentral:tRNA from 1 species